rnacentral:rRNA from 1 species
UGGGGAAUUUUCCGCAAUGGGCGAAAGCCUGACGGAGUGACGCCGCGUGGGGGACGAAGGCCUUCGGGUCGUAAACCCCUGUCAGAGGGAAAGAAGGGGAUCGGCGUGAACAGCGCCGGUCUUUGACGGUACCUUCAGAGGAAGCCCCGGCCAACUCUGUGCCAGCAGCCGCGGUAAGACAGAGGGGGCAAGCGUUGCUCGGAAUCACUGGGCGUAAAGGGCGCGUAGGCGGGAUGGCAAGUCGGUCGUGAAAUCCUUCGGCUCAACCGAAGAACGUCGGCCGAUACUGCCGUUCUUGAGGGAUGCAGAGGAGACUGGAAUUCCCGGUGUAGCGGUGAAAUGUGUAGAGAUCGGGAGGAACACCGGUGGCGAAGGCGGGUCUCUGGGCAUCUCCUGACGCUGAGGCGCGAAAGCGUGGGGAGCAAACGG